rnacentral:rRNA from 1 species
CCUACGGGAGGCAGCAGUGGGGGAUAUUGCACAAUGGGGGAAACCCUGAUGCAGCGACGCCGCGUGUGGGAAGACGGUCCUCUGGAUUGUAAACCACUGUCCCCAGGGACGAAGAUGACGGUACCUGGGGAUGAAGCUCCGGCUAACUACGUGCCAGCAGCCGCGGUAAUACGUAGGGCGCGCGCGUUGUCCGGAAUUACUGGGUGUAAGGGGAGCGGAGGCGGGACUGCAAGUUGGGUGUCAAAUCUACCGGCUCAACCGGUAGCCGCACUCAAAACUGCAGUUCUUGAGUGAAGUAGAGGCAGGCGGAAUUCCUAGUGUAGCGGUGAAAUGCGUAGAUAUUAGGAGGAACACCAGUGGCGAAGGCGGCCUGCUGGGCUUUUACUGACGCUGAGGCUCGAAAGUGUGGGGAGCAAACAGGAUUAGAUACCCUGGUAGUC